UACGGGGGGAGCAAGCGUUGUUCGGAUUUACUGGGCGUAAAGGGCGCGUAGGCGGCCAGCACAAGUCAGUUGUGAAAUCUCCGAGCUUAACUCGGAAAGGUCAACUGAUACUGUGCGGCUAGAGUGCAGAAGGGGCAACUGGAAUUCUCGGUGUAGCGGUGAAAUGCGUAGAUAUCGAGAGGAAUACCUGCGGCGAAGGCGGGUUGCUGGGCUGACACUGACGCUGAGGCGCGAAAGCUAGGGGAGCGAACGGG
rnacentral:rRNA from 1 species